GACGAACGCUGGCGGCGUGCUUAACACAUGCAAGUGGAGCGACGAACCAGGGCUUGCCCUGGGGCAGAGCCGCGAACGGGUGAGUAACACGUGGGUAACGUGCCCCGAUGAUCGGGACAACCCGGGGAAACCCGGCUAAUACCGAAUGUGCUCCCCUCACACCAGUGAGGGAUGGAAAGGAAGCUUCGGCCUCCGCAUCGGGAUCGGCCCGCGGCCCAUUAGCUUGUUGGUGAGGUAACGGCUCACCAAGGCUGCGAUGGGUAGCUGGUCUGAGAGGACGA
rnacentral:rRNA from 1 species